rnacentral:lncRNA from 1 species
AUUGCCAAAAAAUAACCAAGUCUUCGAUAUAUUCCAUUAGCUUUAUGUAUCUUGGUGAUGAUCUUCAAGUUCAACCUGAAAAUUUAUUAUAUUAAUUAUACUAAUAUAAAUAAAGACAAAAUAUUCAAUUAUAGCUAUGAAUAUUAAAAAAACGAAUCACAAUUUUUCAUCGCAAUAACAUAACUAGUGUUUUAACACAAAGGAAAUAAGAUUCAGAAUGUUUGAUAAUUAAACUUACUUUAUUUUGAUAUGAUAAAUUACCUAUAACAUGCAAUGACUAGCAACAUAUCACAAGUACUAAGUUAUAAGUCUACAAGAUACCUAAUCAUAGCAAUAAAUCAACUUAUCUAAUCUCAUAGUUAAGCCAGUCAAACUAAUAUACUUAUACCUUCUUGGGAAUAUGGGUUGAUGUAGAAGAAUAGAGUGUUGGACUAUUUGUGAUGCCUAAAGCAUGUCCCAUCAUGUUAUCAACAACAAUUUCACUUAAACUUGGAUUUUGCUGUUUCAACACACAUUUUAAAUGACUCAUAUUCUUUCAUCCUUUCCUUAAUGCUACUAAUUUCACCUUUAUAAUGUUAGCAAUUUCUUCAUUUUUUUUAACAUUGUUGGUGUAGUUGUUCUUCCAUAACAGCUAACUCUACCAGACUUUUCUUUACCGAACAAUGAUUGAAAGGCUUGGUUAGGAGGCUCACUAGAGUUUUGAAUUGAAUCCUGAAGUUUAGCUUGAUAGGAAAAAAAUCAAUUUUAAAAGUUGAAAAUUUAGAGAUUAAAAGCAUAUAAUGAAAAGAAAAACAUACAAUGACAUUCUCAAUUUCUUCAUCAAUUUUUCAUUUUCUUCGCUGACGAGUUAUGACAAACAUUUCAGCUUGGGUGACUUCCUCCCCAUUUUCCUUCUUUGCAUGCUAAUUUGACAAAGAAUUGAAACUAGAUAAUUAAAACUUAUUAGGACAACUUGUUAUUUAUAUAUAACAAAGACACAUAACUAAGAAUAAAUAUUGUAUCUCUUUUGCCCGAAUUCUAGCGAAAUUUGUCGUUCCCAUUCGAUGCAUAAAUUUAUGUUUAGCCCUAUUGACAACAUUUUUCUUACUAAUGUUCUACAAUAUAAGUGAAAAAAAUUAAAGUAGAAUAUAUACAAAAAAUUCUAUACAAAAAAGAGUGACUAAAAGUGAUGUAAUGUACACACUUACUUGGAUGGUACUAUUAUUCCAAUAUUUCAACAAUUCCUUGAAAUGAGGUUGUAGUAUGCUUUUAGGCUUGUUUUUUUAACCUUUCCUUUAAGGUUGAGUAUUUCAAAAAAUGGUUCCUCUUGAUAUAACAUUUGUAACGUCUCCAUGCAUCAUUUAUUCGAGAAAAAACAGUUUUCUUUCCUUUCUCAGGAAUAAUAAAUUUACUCUGAAAAACAUUAUUGUGAUCAACACGUGAUAACUAUUUGACAAUCAAAUUAAAUAUGAAAAUUAAACUUUAAUACCUGAAUAUAAGGCCAUAUAUAUUCCUCGUGAUUUGUGUACAUUUUCUUAAAGUUUGUAUAAAUCAAAGGACAAAAAGUUGAAUUCCUUGCGAUAGUGCCAAGGAAAUAACCCAGGUUAGUUACAACUUUGUCGGUAGGUACUAUCACUUCUCCGUCGUUGUCUAAGAUGACUUUUAUACAUAAUUUUCUUCCAUGUAUUUUCAAGCACUGAGUUGGUCCCCUUGUUUUUUUCUUAGU